AGUUACUGCCACCCUCUCCCAGGUCUAGAGAGGGGUACCCACGGUGGAGGGAGGUGGGAGGCCGAGACGGCCCCGGGGGUCGGCGGAGACCCAGCGGGAGCAGGGGGAAAUCGGAAGAGCUGGGGGCAUGGAGCGGGCGAGUUUGGAGCGGAAUGAGCCGGGAGCCCUACGUUGUGGAAGGAAGACAACAGUAUAGGACCAUCAGCAGGACCGGACAGAGAGGGGCACGGUUUCUCUGUAUAGCCCUGGCUGUCCUGGAACUUGUAGACCAGGCUGGCCUUGAACUCAGAAAUCCGCCUGCCUCUGACUCCCGAGUGCUGAGAUUAAAGGUGUGCACCACCACACCCGACAAGGAAGCCUGUUUUAAGAAGUGAUUCCAUGGAGGAGUUCUGCGGCGGCUCAGGGCUUGACUAAACAGUGGACCUCAGACAAGAGAGGCUAAACCAGGCUGCAGGUGACAGGAAGAAUUGAAUAAACUGAAAGCAAAGGGCAGCCUUCUAAUUACGCUUCGUGGCUAUGUGGACAACCUGGAGAAGUCUGGAAACAAAGAAGCCAGAAGCCCGAAGCCAGCAGUAGAGCUCUGACUGGCUUGUAUGCCUAGAAAGGAAGGGCUCUUCUUUCGCCUCACGGGCACAAAUGGGACCCACGAGCGCCGAUUUCAGACUAUUCUGAUCCCUUCAAAAAGAAAGUUAGGAGUCCAGGCUACUUCACUUUGGUGAUAGUAAUCAAACCCUAAUCACGGUGCAGCCACAAGUCACAGAGACCGAAAUAGCAGACUUAUGACAGACAAGGAUGGAGACAGCUAAGGAACUGGCUAUUAAUCACCAGUCCCUCUGCUCACAGCCCAUUGGACCCGAGGGUGAAGGAUGAGGAGGAUGGAAGAAAAUGGGAGUGGCGCUUGCUGCAAAGGGUCUCGAAGGGUCUCAGCACCUGCGAACUGGCUCCAAUCCAAACUCCACUAUUCAUGGUCAAGUUCACAUAGGGCUUGGGGUUCUAACAAGAUGUGACUAAACUUACGUUUUCUAUCUUAUUGAUUGUUGUUGAUGCACGUCUGGUGGUACAUGCUUGAAGAACACAGACACCCUGAGAAGAAAGACAUAGCUCCCCAGAUUCCAGCACGCACUUCUCUGUGAGCUACCACUGUAGCUGAAGAUACAGGGCUCAGGAGGAACACUUGGCCUUCGCUCUGAACUUCAGGCCCACGUAACCAUCAGCCGACAUGACACUGCAAAGGCACCUUAGCUCUGCUGUCCCAGAUGGCCAAGCCAACCUUAUUCCAGAAGCUACUUCUCCUGAUGUAAGAACCAGACACAAAGGACAACCUCUGCCUCACCCUCCUUCACACAACACUGAGUCUGUCAUCUUUGAAGCAUUUCUCAAGCCAUGUUUAUUCCCCUGGCCUACGUGGAACACAGCCAGGUUUGGCGGACUCCAACUCUUGGGAUAGCUUUUUUUCUGGCCCCAAACUCACCUGAUUCGUCUGUCCACUGCCACACUGAAGAAUGAACAGCUGUCUCAGAGAGCUUGGCUCCAGAGCUCUGCAAAAAGAGGACACCUUGCCUUGAGCUGUGUUUCCAGAAUGUAUUGCAGCCCCCAGAGUCAUGUACUGUGACCAGGUGAGGACAUGCAUCUUCUGUUCUCCUGCACCCAGGGCCCCAGCAACCAAGGAUCUGGGGACAUGGCGGGUGUUUGGCAGGUUCGCACUCUGAAAAUAUUUGAUGAGACUCAGUAUAUGCUAAAUAAACACUGGAUCAAG
rnacentral:lncRNA from 1 species